GUUUGUGCUAGUUGGCAGUGAGGGUAAAAGCUAGUCUUAAGUCUGUUUAUAGCUGAUGUGAAAGACAUUAAUCUGAAAAAACUAAACGUAUUUAAAUGCUAAUCUGAUGAGUACAGUGUCGCUGUUUAAACCGCAGAGGUCGCUGUCUGACCACGCCGGCGAAAACAUGGGUCACAUGACCCGCUCAACCCGCUGCCCUAACAACCGGAUAGCGUCCUUACUAUCAUUUACAGCCCACAGUAAAACACUCCGUGUCUUUAUUUAACCUGGCUGUGUUUUAAAUACUUUUUUACAUUAAUUUAUUUAUCCAAGAAGCUCUUAACUCCAUAGGUGACAUGUUUGCCCUUACAGAGCGGCGCUGUAAGAGCAGUCAAGUGCAGAGAGAGAGGGAGAGAAGAAAGAAAGAAGAAGAAAUAGAGGAUAGACUGGCUGAGCUGGAAAGCAUCAGAAAUGUCACACGGAAGGCAGAAUUCGUAGAAACCAUGCAGGCUGGUUCUUCCAGGGCUCUGAUGCGGCAGGAGCAUGCCUGUCAGAGAGAAGCUCAGCUGGCUCACACUGCGCGCACUCUGGUGCGUAGAGAGGCACUCCAGAGAGUCCUGGAGCAGGAGAGAGAGCUUUAUAGUAAAGAGCUGAGCCAGAGGGGACUGGCCAUAUAUCAACAGAGAAUAUAAAUACCACCACAUUGAAUCUCCAUAACAUAUGGAUCCAUAUCCUCCUCUUGUUUUACUACACUUCUCUCGUUGUCCUCUUUUACACAUAAAGAUAAAAGCAUUAUAAGAGUAAUCAGCCAUGCAGUAGUAUCCUUGUGCUAUUCCUUUGUGUUUACAUAUAAUACACAACAUCUUAACAAGCCUGUAAUAAGCUUUAAGCUAAAUGCAGCUUUAGGCAGUGUAUGCCACAGUUAUAGACCUGUAGAUAAGUGGAUGUAGAUUUAGAUAAGAGAUAUUUGUUACUUCAUUAUUAACUCUAAAUUGCCCAAUUCUAACAGUUUGGAGUUUGUUACAGGCCUUAAAUGCAGAAAUAGGUCUACAAAAAAAAAAAAAAGUUGACCAGACAAAACAUUACAUACAGUAUAUUGGGUUUACAUUGUCUGCAAUAUCAAAGUAAAUAUAAGAAACACAUUAAUUUUCUAUACUGUCCCAUUUUUCUUUUAAUAAAUACAAAAAUGUAUGUAAGCUAAAAGCUAAG
rnacentral:lncRNA from 1 species